UGGAUGUAUUGGAGUUCAUUUAAGGCUUUUGCAGGUGAACCAUAGAGGAUGCUGCAGGGUGCAGUUGUUGAUGUGUGUGAACUGUUGUCUGUUGGUGAGAUAGGAACGGAGCCAGGAGAGUGCGGUGCAACUGAUGUUGCAGUUGGGAC